GAUGAACGCUGGCGGCGUGCUUAACACAUGCAAGUCGAGCGAGAAGUUUUGAACAGAUUCUUCGGAUGCAAUUUAAAAUGGAAAGCGGCGGACGGGUGAGUAACGCGUAGGCAACCUGCCCCAUACAAAGGGAUAGCAUUUGGAAACGAAUAUUAAUACCUUAUGAAACUUAACUAGUGCAUGCUAGGUAGGUCAAAGAUUUAUCGGUAUGGGAUGGGCCUGCGUCUGAUUAGCUAGUUGGUGAGGUAACGGCUCACCAAGGCGACGAUCAGUAGCCGACCUGAGAGGGUGAACGGCCACAUUGGAACUGAGACACGGUCCAAACUCCUACGGGAGGCAGCAGUGGGGAAUAUUGCACAAUGGGGGAAACCCUGAUGCAGCAACGCCGCGUGAACGAUGAAGGCCUUUGGGUCGUAAAGUUCUGUUCUAGGUGAUGAAAACUGACAGUAACCUAGGAGAAAGCCCCGGCUAACUCCGUG
rnacentral:rRNA from 1 species